ensembl:lncRNA
AUUUAAAACACUAAAUUUUAUUUAAUGUAGGUCACGUUGACAUCCCGAAUUCUCAGCCCAUUACAUUCCUUUAGCAUUAACACAAUCCUACAAAUCACAGAUAAUUACCUUUUUUACCAUGACAUAGCACAAUUUAUGACAUAAGUAACAAUGAAAAGCUUGAGAAAGCACACUAUGAUUUACAUACUUUUCUUCACGUGUGCAGCCCUUGUACCCAUUGGGCCCACACCUCUUAGAGUGACCAAGUUCCCUUCUGGAUAACGUCAGGAUAAAUCUGACUGCAAGUCUAUAUUUGAGAUUAUUUUUUUCCAUGACAUCUCACUAAAACCAUUAAGUAUCAGCUGUAUUGCUUGCACGCUGACAUCACAGGUUAUAUAUGAAUCCUUAUUGCAACUCUAAAGGAAAUUACAUUUACUCUGAACAAGGCAUGACUCACUCGAGAAAGAAUUUGUGCCUGACUAUGCAUAUAAACUUUCUUGAUUCUAAAUACUACUACUUCAUGAUGUAAACCUUCCCCCUAACCCCAACAUUCAUUCUUUACUAUCACAGUUCAGUGAUCUUAACCUCUAUGGACACUGUUGCUCAAUUAAGUUAACAGGAUAAAAUGACUUUUCUGAGGCUGCCACUAAAACACAAGCCUUGUCUCCUCCCUUUCAAGUAGAAUACAACCAGGCAGGAUAUUGGAAAUGGUACAGACACACACUUUGCUGUCUCUUUUACUUCCACUGCAAUAUUUCUUCUGUCACCAGGUUGCUCGGUGAUAAAUUUUCAAGACCUAAAUAUGUCUGUACUCUCCUAUCACAUCUCCAUCCUCCUGCUGCAUUAAGAUAGGACUGAAUCCCCUAGUCAAAGAUUGCUUUUUCCUAUAACAUCAGGUUGUGUUGUUUCAAUUUUUAUAAGAUUCACAUGGUUUGACCCAAAUCUAGAUGAUUCCUUUUAGCCAAAAUAGAACACCUUACCCAUCUGAUACACAACACAUGGUAACCCAUCUGACGGCUUCUCAGCUACAUUUGUGUUGGUGUCUGUGAGGACACAAUUCUUACAAUUUGACAUCCCACCUGCCCACAAGGACAUAACAUUCAAUCACAGAUACUGGAUGACCUUACAUUAACUUUUGCAAAAGCCUACAAAUGGAGUGUUCAGGAACAAAGGUGAAGGAUAUAUUUUCUUCUACAAGAACGGAAUGUAUUAUGCUCCAGCCUACAUUUAACAGACACAGUAAGUUAUGAAGGAUUUUCCUUUUUCCUCCAAACAAUUAAAUGUGGCAGAAUCCUUAAUGCAAGUGAAUUUGGUGAAUCUUACAUUUAUGCCUAUCUUUUUUCAUGUACAUUUAAUUUAGGAUUGAUCAGAGAGACUUUCGACUUGAUAUAACCACUGAAUUCAUACUCUUGUUGCCAAAUUUGAAGAAAAACCCUGGAGGACAAACCAGUAUUGUUGCUGUUCAGUAUUCAGCUGUCAGGGUGAUAGAGUAGAUGCUCUUUCAUGUUUUCCAUAAGUAACAGUUUACUGGCUCCCAUACUGCCCAGGUUCAUCCUGCUUACCACCACCACCAUCACCUCUGCCCAACAUACUGUGAGCUCAUGCAGUAUGUCAGAGCAGAACAGGCAUGUCAGGAUUGUUACUGUUGAGUAGCUGAUUUUAGUUAUUUAAGGUUCUUCAGCACAAGUAUUUAGACUUUUUUUUUCCUGAAAGGAAGAAUAUUUUCUCGUGAGACAUGACAAAAUGGAAAAGUUUGUUUGUAAUGUUCCUUUGAGAUAAGCUCUU